GGGAGAUCGACGGAAAAAUAUAGAGGGUUAUAUGAGAGAUAGCUAGUUGACAGAGAGGAGAGAAAAAGAUUGAGAGACAUGCUGAAACGCUAACUUAAUUUGCUUAUUCAGAGACCAACCGGCUGCUCACGAGGUUUUCGAACUCGUCCACGGACCGAGCGAAUCCUGAGCAGGGGCAAGAGGCUCGCGGGGAGGAGAGAGAUGGGUUCAGCUUCGUCCGCGUACAGAGUAAUCUACUUGGAUGUGGAUGGCAGAAUUCAGAAGGUGGUCUUCAGCAAAUUCUGCAGCCCUUAUGAUAUCAAGGAGUUAUUUUGCACAGCUGUGGGACUCCGAAGGAACACCGUUCUGUCUCUGCUGGACUCCGCUGGAGCCCUGGUGUCCAUCGACCCCCACAUGCCACACAACACCGAGAGGUCUCCAUACAAAGUGGUGCCACUCAGUGGAGGACAACUUGGUGAUAAAGAGGAACUCUUCCAGAACGUGUUGACACAGGUGGCGGAGCAGUUCUCCAGAGCGUUCAAAAUCAACGAGCUGAAGACAGAGGUGACAAACCGUUUGACCAUGUUGGAGAAAAGAGUAGAGUUGGAGGGAAUGAAGGUGGUGGAGAUAGAGAAAUGCCGCAGUGACAUCAAGAAACUCCGGGAGGAGAUGGCCUCCAGGAACAACAGUCAUUUCCUGGAUGACAACAAGAUGCUGACACUACGCAGAGACGUUCCCUCUUACCCCAAGUAUCAUCUGUCUCAGGAGACAAUGGAAGCUCUCAGAAAACCCACCUUCAAUGUAUGGCAGUGGGAGCCCAAUGAGGUGAGGAGAGGGGGUCGGCCCAUCACAGCGAAAGAAUCUGGCAACCCAGCACUGAUGCUGAGCUGCCUGGAGCACAUGUACCACGACCUGGACCUGGUCAGGGACUUCAACAUGAACCCCGUCACACUGAAGAGGUGGCUGCUUUGUAUCCAUGACAACUACAGGAUGAAUCCCUUCCAUAACUUCCGUCACUGCUUUUGUGUCACCCAGAUGAUGUACAGCAUGAUUUGCCUCUGUGGCCUACAGGAGACCUUUAACCAGGUGGACAUCCUGGUUCUGAUGACAGCCGCAGUGUGCCACGACCUGGAUCACCCUGGAUACAACAACACGUACCAGAUUAACGCGCGGACGGACCUGGCGGUGCGCUACAAUGACAUCUCCCCGCUGGAAAACCACCACUGUGCCGUGGCCUUCCAGAUCCUGUCCCAGCCCGACUGCAACAUCCUCUCCACCUUCGACCCGGAGUCCUUCCAACACAUACGCCAGGGAAUCAUCACACUGAUCCUGGCCACUGAUAUGGCUCGGCAUGGGGAGAUACUGGACUCCUUCAGACAUAAAGUGGACAGCUUUGACUUCACAGAUGAAGAGCACGUCACUUGUCUAAAGACGAUGCUGAUAAAGUGUUGUGACGUCUCAAACGAGGUGCGACCGAUGGAGGUGGCUGAGCCCUGGGUGGACUGCCUUUUGGAGGAAUACUUCACGCAGAGUGACAGGGAAAAAGCGGAGGGUCUGCCUGUCGCCCCGUUCAUGGACAGAGAAAAGGUCACCAAGCCCACCGCCCAGAUAGGCUUCAUCAAGUUCGUCCUCAUCCCCAUGUUUGAGACCGUAAUGAAGCUGUUCCCGCAGAUCGAGGAGGUGAUGGUCCAGCCACUGAGGGAGUCAAGAGACAGAUACGAGGAGCUCAAACAGAUUGACGACGCUAUGACAGAGCCCAAUAUGUGCAUUGGGCCUCGCCUCAUCAGAGCAACUGCUGGCAGGCUCGGGAGAGUUGAAGAUUGAGACGUGCGUCCUCCAAAGAACAUUUUGCCCAAGUUCUCAUGCUGCUCAAUCAUCCAGAAAGUAUUCCUCAGCAGCUAAGCACUUGGAUAACUAAUUCACCGGCCAACCACCGCAAUUGAGCUUGCAGGCAUCCGACCCACAACAAGGAGUCACUAGAUGACAGGUGUCGACAACCUUGUCCGGCAACAACCCUAGAUGGUGCUUAGCCAAUUAUCACCACAUGCAAGGCCCCAGGCAUAGGUGCGGUAUGCCGCGACCACGACUCAACCUCCUGGCCAAAAUGACGCAGAUGAACUGUGAGAUAGUGACUUUAACACAGAGUCACUUAGAAGCCUAAAUGUCUCCUUUAGGUGUGUAGCAAUGACUUCAGCUCUGCUGUGAAUGUCUCUUCUUUAGGUGCAGAGAAAGAAAAGCCAGAAUUUGACUACAGGAAACGGGAAAUGAGAGCUCAAGAGCUCAACCCUCCUCUGGUAGUGAAGGUUCACAGUCAGUAUGAGGAUUACGGAGACAAAGCCAC